CCUACGGGCGGCAGCAGUGAGGAAUAUUGGUCAAUGGGCGCGAGCCUGAACCAGCCACGUAGCGUGAAGGAUGACUGCCCUACGGGUUGUAAACUUCUUUUAUAAAGGAAUAAAGUGAGGCACGUGUGCCUUUUUGUAUGUACUUUAUGAAUAAGGAUCGGCUACCUCCGUGCCAGCAACCGCGGUAAUACGGAGAAUCCGAGCGUUAUCCGGAUUUAUUGGGUUUAAAGGGAGCGUAGAUGGGUUGUUAAGUCAGUUGUGAAAGUUUGCGGCUCAACAGUAAAAUUGCAAUUGAUACUGGCAGCCGUGAGUACAGUUGAGGUAGGCGGAAUUCGUGGUGUAGCGGUGACAUGCUUAGAGAUCACGAAGAACUCCGAUUGCGAAGGCAGCCUACUAAACUGCCACUGACAUUGAUGCUCGAAAGUGUGGGUAUCAAACAGGAUUAGAUACCCUGGUAGUC
rnacentral:rRNA from 1 species